GUUUUACCCAAUUCCUGCAUUGUUCAAGAAAUUCAAGAAACCCAUCUUUUCUUUAGGUUGAGCAGAGUCAGUCACCUCAGCCUCUUCAGAUACAGAUGAAGUGCAUCAGGGGUCUCAAGAACAAGGUGCCCCAAGGCUCCUACUUCCUCAAAGUGUCCCUGCUCGGUCAACCAGGCGGUCGUGUCUUGCAAUGGUACCUGGAGGAGCAGCUGAAGACCAGGACACACCCAGUGAAUCACGGUGGAAACUUUUAUGACGUGGGAUUGUUUCUCCAUGAAAGCCUUUAUGUGCUUGGAUCUGGGCUACUGAAUAUGUCAUUCAAGAGCUUGCUAUCUAGAGC
ensembl:lincRNA